rnacentral:lncRNA from 1 species
GAGGUGGGAGAGCCAUCACUGGAGAGGUGGCAUUGGCGCCAGUACUCAGGCCAGAAGCCCCUUGUGCCCUGCUCUCAGAACACAGGCCCCAGACCAGGAAGGCAUUCUGCUAAAGAAGGGGACCCGAAACCUCAGCUACCAGCGCCGAUGGUUCAUCCUCCGAGGAAACCUCCUCUUCUACCUAGAACACUAGACCGACCAUGCACCCCUGAGCCUCAUCCUGUUAGAGAACUGCCAGGUGGAACCACACCUUAAGGCUGCAGAACCCUAUGCCUUUACCAUCCUGACCCCUGGGGUGGAGGGCACAGGUGGGCGGGCCUACAAGCUGGCUGCAGAAACCCAGGAAGAGCUGGAGACUUGGCUGUGGGCACUGGCUGGCGCGAGCUGGAGGCGGCUGGCUGGGCUGCUGUCCCCCCUCCCCCCCCACCAAAACCCAAUACUGGGAGCUGUGCCAGGCAACUGGCCAAGAACCCAUCUCAUCCCCAGAGGACAGUGGCUUUCUAGCCACUGUGAGUACCCCCUCCAGCUUCCAGGAGUUGCAUGAGCACUUUGGGAAGGAGAUCCGGGUGCUGCACGUGGUACAUAGAGAGCUCCAGGCAGCCAGUGACAAUGGAGACAGCAGAUCCCAGGCAAAGAUGGAGCAGGAGCUCAACCAGUGUCUGAUGAGUGACUGAGAGAUGGACCCAAAGCUAAGAGGUACCUACUUGCCAAGACAGCAGACUGCUUCAACAGAGACCCAGGUCCUGGCUCUGUCCCUCCCUCCCUCGUCCUUACCCCAUCCCCCCCUCAUCAAAUAACAAGGCAGAAAACAGGCCCAGGUACAACAGCAGGUUCUUUUCCAAUUCCUCAAAGCGCUGCAUGGGGUGGGGGCAGAGACAGAAGAGAAUGUAAACAUUGGGUUCCACCCCCUGGAGCUCAAGGGAAGACCCUUACCCAGAUAGGGACUAACUGGAGGGGUGGAAGGGAACAAGGUGAAAGGUAUGGGUCCUGGUGAGACAAAAGCAGGGGGGCCUGAGAACACAGAGCAAGGUGGGUUUGGAGGGAGCACAGCAGGGUGCAGGAAGGGAGAUGGGGGACAUUUCCUAUUCCAGUGCAUGUCCCCUUAAAUAAACUGGGUACAGGAGCAUUAUGGAAGGAGAACCAAAGGACAGAAGACAAAGCGAGCACCCCCACCCCAGGCCAACGCCAUCCUCUGUACACAAUUACAACACAGGUCCAGAAUGAGAGCCCUGGCCAGGAAGUGGGGGAGACAGGGAGGGCUGAAGACAGGGAAAAGGAAGCCAGCUCCACCUCAUGGUAAGGGGAGCUAUGGAGUGUAAGAAUCUGAAACUGCUGACUCCCAUCACCAGGAGUCACCCCUGGGAUGACAACGGGCCAUUCAGGACAGCACCUAGGAGGGGACCCAGAGGGAACUGGGGCAGGAGCGACAGAGACCCCAGCUGAGCCUCAUGGGAGAUGAGAGGCUCCAGACUCAUUUGCAGCUGCCCAUCUGUCCUGCCCGUGUAGGGAUCAGCAGCUGGCGAGGAGAUGGGGAACCAAGCCACUUUCCCCAGCAAGGGACAGCCUGACAAGGUGCUAGGGGGUGGCACCUUGGGCCAGGCCUGUUCUUGGCUGAGGGAAAGAGGGGGGCCAUGCAGUCCAGCCCCAGGGCAGAGGUCAGAAGUAAGCGUCCUGCCGGGCCUCGGCUGAGGGCCUGUCCCCACCAUCAUGGGGGCCUGGGGGCCCAUCUGCCUUUCGACGCAGCGAAAGCUUCCGGCCUUGAGCCUUCUUCUCCUGCUUCUGCCGCUCCUUCUCCUGCUUCUCUCGCUCCUUUUCCUGCUUCUCUCGCUCUUUCUCCUGCUUCUGCCGCUCCUUCUCCCGCUCCUUCUCCUGUUUCUGCCGCUCCUUCUCCUGUUUCUGCCGCUCCUUCUCCUGCUUCCGGGUCUCCUUGCUGGAACCCAAGGGGGUGCUAUUGCCAGUGGGUGAGGGAAGGGAUGGAUGCAGUCCCUCAGCAGUGACCACAGGCCCUGGGGCAGGCCCAGCACUGGCUCUGCGGACGGGGGGCGGCGGGGACGGGGCCCCUCCAGCUGCCCGGGAGCCUCGGCUCUUGAGGCCAGGGAGGCUGAGGAGGCUGGAGGAGGGGCCCAGGGGUGGCUGUUGCCGCCGGCGCUCCUCGUGGAUGGCCCGGGACCCAUGCAGUCGCCGUGAGGGCCGAUACUGCAGCUCCCCCCGCGUUUCCCGCCACUUCUUGAGCUGGGCUGCAUUCUCCCGCUCAAUCAGUGCUUCUGUCACCGGCAGAUUGGUCACCUGCACAGAGAGGAAAUGCGUACCAGAAUGGAGCUGAGGGUGGGAGCGGGCUGAGGCAGGCAGGGGCUGCGUUGAGGGCACAGGCCUACCUCAUGCACCAGGAAGUCUUCCUGCAUGCACUGCUGGGGCAGGUUACGCAGCUGCUCCAUGGUCUCAUACAUGCCUUGGCAGGAGCGCAGCUUCUCCACUGAGCCCAGCGUGUGGCGCAGCAGGACCAGGGCCACCCGGAAGAUGAUCUUAACGCCUGCAGGGGUGGAGAGUAGAGAGCAUGGGGUGGUCAGACCCAAGAUCUCAGCCUGUCCUGAUCAGGAUAGACUCACAGCCCCCAUCCCCAUCUACUGCCAAUCUCAGAUGAGGAAACUGAGGCCCUGUGAAAGUACAUGAGCUGCUAUCAGUCUCAGGAUCUUGGCAGGGAGAGCAGGCUCUGGGUUGGUGGCAGAACUAAAAUCAGGCCUGUUUCUCCAGCCCCCAGCUGCUUAUGGUGAAACCUCCACCCAACAAGUACCUUUUGUCCAUGGACCACCAGAAAUAUGACAGAACCCCUGGUAGCCACCACAGAAACCCCAGCCCCUCAUGGCCUGGAGGGCCACAGAAGUACCUUCACAGAAAAACAUGUCCCAGACACGCAGCACCGACGCCCAGGGCAGGGUGCGGGCGAAGAUGCACAUGAACCACUCCGUCAUGUAGAGCACAGGGUCAAUGCGCUGCCGCCGCAGGUGGCGAUGCGCCAGCGGGGAGGCCCGGCGCAGGAGUGCAAAAAAGAUCUCCCCGUCCAGCUGAAUGGCCUCCUGCAGGUGGGACAAGCCAUGAGAAGAGGGCCAAGUCAGCUGUGCCCCCAUCAGGGGAGAACUGGCCGGCCCUGUGGGCAGAAGCCGGGAAGGCCAGGGUGGGGCAAGGCAAGGACCUGCCUGCAGCCUGGAGGAAACGCCACAGCCCCGGAUGCACCCAGCCUCCAGACACUCACCAGCCCUGCACUGUAGUAACCUGGGAGGUACUUGUCGCAGAUCUGCACCAGGCACCAAAAGGCUUGCUGAGAAGAGCAAGAACAAGGAGGAGGGGUGGGGCCUGAGAAGCAGGGAGCAGGGAGCUCCCCCAUCACCACUGUAGGGUGAGAUCCCCCCUGCCCCUCCCGGCCCAGGACCAGGGCGCUGACCUCCGCAGGCAUGUGCAUGAGCAGGACCGCAGCCACGGGGGCCUGGGCCUGGCAGUAACCCUCGUCAGGCCGGUAGAUGGUGUAGGCCUUCAGGAUUCGGUACAGGUCCUGUUGCCUGUGGGGGUUGGGGAAGACUGUGAGGGCAGUCACGGGCUGAGAGCUCUGUCCCCAAACCCAGUUCCAGAUUCGUCCCAGAGUUUAUCACCAGGCUCCUCCAUCCACCUGCCCAGUCCUGCUGAGCGAGCUUCAGCUAAAGGCUCAGCCCACAGCAGAGCACUCCAGGCCCCGGGGCUCCGCCUUUGGCUACAUACUCCACAUGCUCCUGGCCAUCCCAGCACAGGCUGCACCCUCGCCCUCCUUCCUCAGCCACAUCCCAGAAACCUUCCAGGUCAUUUUCUCCAGGAAGCUUUCCACAGCUGCAGCAUCAGCCCUCCUCUAGCACUAAAUGUCUUUGUCACCCCAAAGCAGUAGCUCCCCAGGGCAGGGCCUGCCUUAUCGGUCUCACUGGAUUUCAUGGUUCUUGGGGAAGGCUUGGAAGCCAGCUGUGCCUCAGCCCUUUCUCCUGUCUCUGCAUCCAAAAGAAUAAAAUCUGUACCCUAGA